rnacentral:rRNA from 1 species
UUAACGCUGAGAUACGAUGUCGAGCUACUACGGUAGUGAAGUCAUUGAUGCCAUGCUUCCAGGAAAAGCCUCUAAGCUUCAGAUUGUAAGGAAUCGUACCCCAAACCGACACAGGUGGUCGGGUAGAGAAUACCAAGGCGCUUGAGAGAACUCGGGUGAAGGAACUAGGCAAAAUGGUACCGUAACUUCGGGAGAAGGUACGCUCUUAUCAGUGAAGUCCCUUGCGGAUGGAGCAGACGAGAGUCGCAGAUACCAGGUGGCUGCAACUGUUUAUUAAAAACACAGCACUGUGCAAAAUCGUAAGAUGACGUAUACGGUGUGACGCCUGCCCGGUGCCGGAAGGUUAAUUGAUGGGGUUAGACUUCGGUCGAAGCUCUUGAUCGAAGCCCCGGUAAACGGCGGCCGUAACUAUAACGGUCCUAAGGUAGCGAAAUUCCUUGUCGGGUAAGUUCCGACCUGCACGAAUGGCGUAAUGAUGGCCACGCUGUCUCCACCCGAGACUCAGUGAAAUUGAAAUCGCUGUGAAGAUGCAGUGUACCCGCGGCUAGACGGAAAGACCCCGUGAACCUUUACUACAGCUUGGCACUGAACAUUGAACCUACAUGUGUAGGAUAGGUGGGAGACUAUGAAAUUGCGUCGCUAGAUGUGAUGGAGUCGUCCUUGAAAUACCACCCUUGUAGUUUUGAUGUUCUAACGUUGGUCCCUGAAUCGGGAUUACGGACAGUGCCUGGUGGGUAGUUUGACUGGGGCGGUCUCCUCCCAAAGAGUAACGGAGGAGCACGAAGGUGGGCUAAACACGGUUGGACAUCGUGUGGUUAGUGCAAUGGCAUAAGCCCGCUUGACUGCGAGAAUGACAAUUCGAGCAGGUGCGAAAGCAGGUCAUAGUGAUCCGGUGGUUCUGAAUGGAAGGGCCAUCGCUCAACGGAUAAAAGGUACUCCGGGGAUAACAGGCUGAUACCGCCCAAGAGUUCAUAUCGACGGCGGUGUUUGGCACCUCGAUGUCGGCUCAUCACAUCCUGGGGCUGAAGUCGGUCCCAAGGGUAUGGCUGUUCGCCAUUUAAAGUGGUACGCGAGCUGGGUUUAGAACGUCGUGAGACAGUUCGGUCCCUAUCUGCCGUGGGCGUUGGAAAAUUGAAAGGGGCUGCUCCUAGUACGAGAGGACCGGAGUGGACGAACCUCUGGUGUUCGGGUUGUCAUGCCAAUGGCAUUGCCCGGUAGCUAAGUUCGGAAUCGAUAACCGCUGAAAGCAUCUAAGCGGGAAGCGAGCCUUGAGAUGAGUUUUCCCUGGCACUAUAAGUGUCCUAAAGGGUUGUCGUAGACUACGACGUUGAUAGGCAGGGUGUGUAAGUGCUGCGAGGCAUUGAGCUAACCUGUACUAAUUGCCCGUGAGGCUUAACCAU